rnacentral:rRNA from 1 species
UACAGAGGUCCCAAGCGUUGUUCGGAUUCAUUGGGCGUAAAGGGUGCGUAGGCGGCGCGGUAAGUCGGGUGUGAAAUCUCCGGGCUUAACUCGGAACGGUCAGCUGAUACUGCUUUGCUAGAGUGCAGAAGGGGCAAUCGGAAUUCUUGGUGUAGCGGUGAAAUGCGUAGAUAUCAAGAGGAACACCUGAGGUGAAGACGGGUUGCUGGGCUGACACUGACGCUGAGGCGCGAAAGCUAGGGUAGCAAACGGG